GUAGGGAAUAUUGGUCAAUGGACGAAAGUCGGAACCAGCCAUUCCGCGUGCAGGAAGAAGAUUCUAUGGAUUGUAAACUGCUUUUAGCAGAGAAGAAACGCCUUCAUUGAUGAGGGUUUGACGGUAUCUGCGGAAUAAGUACCGGCUAACUCCGUGCCAGCAGCCGCGGUAAUACGGGGGGUGCAAGCGUUAUCCGGAAUCACUGGGUUUAAAGGGUGCGUAGGCGGGAAAUUAAGUCAGUGGUGAAAGUCUGUUGCUUAACGAUAGAAUUGCCGUUGAUACUGAUUUUCUUGAAUUGGGUUGGGGUUAGCGGAAUGUGACAUGUAGCGGUGAAAUGCAUAGAUAUGUCAUGGAACACCAAUUGCGAAGGCAGCUAGCUGGGCCUUGAUUGACGCUGAGGCACGAAAGCGUGGGUAGCGAACAGGAUUAGAAACCCUGGUAGUCC
rnacentral:rRNA from 1 species